rnacentral:rRNA from 1 species
AUUGAACGCUGGCGGCAGGCCUAACACAUGCAAGUCGAACGAGUGGCGGACGGGUGAGUAAUGUCUGGGAAACUGCCUGAUGGAGGGGGAUAACUACUGGAAACGGUAGCUAAUACCGCAUACCAUCGGAUGUGCCCAGAUGGGAUUAGCUAGUAGGUGGGGUAACGGCUCACCUAGGCGACGAUCCCGACCUGGUCUGAGAGGAUGACCAGCCAUCCGGUAACGUAGACACGGUCCAGACUCCUACGGUAGGAAGCAGGGGGGAAUAUUGCACAAUGGGCGCAAGCCUGAUGCAGCCAUGCCGCUUGUAUGAAGAAGGCCUUCGGGUUGUAAAGUACUUUCAGCGGGGAGGCGUUACCCGCAGAAGAAGCACCGGCUAACUCCGUGCCAGCAGCCGCGGUAAUAC